CCUACGGGAGGCAGCAGUGAGGAAUAUUGGUCAAUGGACGCAAGUCUGAACCAGCCAUGCCGCGUGAAGGAUGAAGGCCUUCUGGGUUGUAAACUUCUUUUAUCUGGGAAGAAACCUCCGAUUUCUAUUGGAGUUGACGGUACCAGAGGAAUAAGCACCGGCUAACUCCGUGCCAGCAGCCGCGGUAAUACGGAGGGUGCAAGCGUUAUCCGGAUUUACUGGGUUUAAAGGGUGUGUAGGCGGGCUAUUAAGUCAGCGGUGAAAUCUCCGAGCUCAACUUGGAAACUGCCAUUGAUACUAUUAGUCUUGAAUUUUGUUGAGGUAGGCGGAAUAAGUCAUGUAGCGGUGAAAUGCAUAGAUAUGACUUAGAACACCAAUUGCGAAGGCAGCUUGCUAAACAACAUUGACGCUGAGGCACGAAAGCGUGGGGAUCAAACAGGAUUAGAUACCCUGGUAGUCCACGCCCUUAAAACGGAUGACUUACUCGUACACUACGCGACUACACAGUAGUGUGUCUGAGAGAAGACGAGUAAGUAAGUACACCGUACGGUAAGGUAACGUACCGACGAAGUUAGUUAAACGUUAACGAAAGGAAGUUAGUUACGGCGNGGAGACGAGCGACGGACGACGACGAGGGAGGAGG
rnacentral:rRNA from 1 species